UUAUAUGCAUUUUGGAAGUUUUUCUUUUUUGGUAUGAGUUUUCCUGACUUAUUUUGAAAGGUACAAGACUACAUGGUUAUUAUCUUGGAUUUUUCUCAAGGCCAAGUAUGGCUCUCUGGGUUGCCAUGGUGGUCUAGAAUUCAUUGAGAGGAAUUGUUUAGUUAAUCUGACAAUACUGUUUAUAAAAGUUAUAAAACUACCAGCUUCCCACAGAAAGAUAUACUUAAUAGAACCAUAGAGUUGAAAGGAAGGGAAGAGGUUGGGAUGAGAGGAAAUAGGGUGAUGAUGGAGUGUUUAUUUGUAUAAUUUUAUAAAGACUUCACUUUGGGUAGCCCCAUGGAGGUGAACCUAGGAUGCUCACAGUAUUUUCAGGGUGGAAGACAGCCAAGCACUGAUAACAAGGUUGUUAUCAUCUGUGAGGUAGAUAGGCAGUGUCACGUAGGAAAAAGAGCCCUGGAUUUUGAGCAGAGGUCCUGGCUUUGAAUCCAGCGCUGCUAUGUACUACCUGGGUGAUAAAAGCCAGAGCACUCUUAUACUUCAUUUUCCUCCUUUAUAAAAUGAGGAAGUUGAGCUAGAUAAGGGUAUAUUAGGAGCGAGCUGGGCAGGUUCAGGAGAGCUGAUUGUCAAAUUUUCAUUGUAAACAUUUACACCUUGGAAAUCAACAAAUUCUUAUAAUCACAUCUGUGUUUUUUUGUUUUUUUUUUUUUUUGGGGGGGGGGUAUUGCCUAUUGUCUCUAGACUAAAGGAAAUGAUGGAGAAAAUGCAGACUACACUUGAGUCUAUUAUGUCUAUAAUUCACUCUUACCCCCAUUCUACUCCCCAAAAGUUGGUUGUUAAACAUCUAUUAGCACACUCCUGGGCUAAAUAAUCUCUAAGUUUCUUUCCUGCUGUAUAACAUGUUAUAAACCCUGUUUUCUUAUCUCCAUUUUAUAGUUAGGAAAAUGAGUUCAGAGAAGGGAGAGGAUGGGCCCCAAGCCCCUUAGGUAUUUAGUCAGUGUCGGGUUGGGGCCGGCCUGUAUCUAGCUUGGACAUUCUUGUCAUGAGUGCCUUGAGUUCUGAGGAAUCUUGCCAAGUAUUCCAGUGUGAGAACAUUUGCACUGAUUUGGUACAGCCCAUAUCCAGUGAUUUUAUUUUUAGUUGGCGGAUAGGGUCUUAAGGAAACCAGUUAUUGAAACAUCUGUUUGCAGAGGAUGAGAGCUGAGCUGGAGUCCAAGGACCUGGGCCCAGCAGCGUCAGCUCUAUAGAAGCUUGGGUAAGUAGACACCCCUUUCCUCCUCUAAAAAAGGAGGUUGAACGAGGCACUUUCUACUUUUUAAGCUGGAACCUAUGGAUCUGAACAAAUCUCGAAUGACCGACCUCAUUCUGCAGCCACUUUGAUUUCAUUUCCCAGAAUCUUGCAGGGUUUCUUAAGUAUCCUGUUGAAGUCUAAUGAUGACCUUGGAUUUUUGCAGUUUCUUACUGCUGGAGCACAAGUCCUGGGCAGGUUCUAUCAUGCUUCAAAAGCUUGAAGACAAUCCAAGUAAAUGGAAAAGUUGGUUCAUCAACAGAAAGUUGACUGAUGUCAUAAACUUUUGUCACAUCAGCUCAUGGAGAUAGU